rnacentral:lncRNA from 1 species
UCCCCAGCCUUCAUGCACACCCAAAGCUUUCCACUCUUUCUCUCUUACAUGGAAUGUGGUUAUGGACCAAGUCAAAGUUGGAAUUUGUUUGGAUUUCAAAUUCUAUGAGAUAGAAUUUUAAGAAACCAAAACUCUUUCUUCAUAGCACUGAUUUUAUCUAGAUUUUUUUUAAUUUUUAUAAAUUUUAUGGCAUAUAUUGUGU